rnacentral:rRNA from 1 species
UACGAAGGGGGGCUAGCGUUGCUCGGAAUCACUGGGCGUAAAGGGUGCGUAGGCGGGUCUUUUAAGUCAGGGGUGAAAUCCUUGGAGCUCAACUCCAGAACUGCCUUUGAUACUGAAGAUCUUGAGUUCGGGAGAGGUGAGUGGAACUGCGAGUGAGAGGUGAAAUUCGUAGAUAUUCGCAAGAACACCAGUUGGCGAAGGCGGCUCA